AGCGAAUAAUCUUCUCACUCAUCAGUGUGGGGCUCGACACUAUGGUCGACGAGAUAAGGAGGAUGCGGCGCCACCCUGAGAGCAUGGGUAUCACCAUGUGAGACAGCUGUGACUCAAAUGAGAUGAAGUGAUACAUCGUGGUUAUGACAAGGCUUGUAGUAGUGAGAACUGUAAAGAAAAUGUAUGAUAAAGUUUUUUUUACUAUGUU